UUAUUACUUAUUCUCCGAGUCUAUAAUCCUAAGGCAAGAGCUAUGGAUUAUAGGCCGAUAGGGUAGUGCUGGAAACGGUGCUGCCUCCCGCCUGGAAAGGAGAAUAGGAAGGCUGCUA
rnacentral:ncRNA from 27 species